UCUCAGCACUUAUCCAGAUUACAACACAGGCUUAAAUUUGUAACACUUUUGAAACUGAGACAACUCAGUAUUUACUGGUUAAUUUAGGGGUUAUUUGAACAGUCUUAGUAGAGUACGUCCUGUUAUAUCUAUUUGCGUGUUUAAAAAAAAAAAAACCUAUUCUCAUUUUUAGGCUUAGGCUCCAAAAACUAAUCCCACAUCUAUUAUCAUGCAAAUUGCUAGCAUCAGAUACAGGCCCUCCCUGGUGUUCAGAACGGUUUCAGAUAACUUGAGAGUCAAACUAAAAACAUGAGCUGGCCUCUUUUGCUGUGUGUAUUUGCACAGUUUCUCUUGCUGUGCAAAUACCGUUUGGCUUUUGAUCUUUAUCCCUCCAUUAUUUCCAAAUACACUUUGCUCUUCCAGUGUUUAAUAAGUGACAGCAGGGCUUAUGUUAACCUUGUGCAGCCAAAAAACUGACAUCCUAAUUUAGAUCUUUUUCAUGUGACUCUUCCAAAGUAACGGUUGAUCUUUUAAAUUAGCUGUGGUUAGAUAAAAGAUGAACAAUGACUGCAGGGCUGAACAGGCCAGGGUGGGAUACUGAGAUGUGGAGCAGCAGAGAAUGGUAGCUGAGUGAACAGAGUCCAGAGUGUGGAGAACUAAUCAAAUAAAAAGUGAAAUCUGGAGCAGAGCAGCUGAAACGUGUGGGUAUCAUGGCCCGGAGAGCAGAGCUGAUGAGGUGAAAGGCUGCAGAGUUGAGACGGAGCAGUGUGGACGAUGGAUGAGAGAGAGACCGCAGGACGGAUGCAAGAGGAGGCUGAGGUGGACGAAUGGAGUCCUGCCCACGGAUCUGCCCCUUUCCCCUAUAACAGCUGCGAUUUAAACACACCGCAACUCUGAAUUGGACAAGUGGAAGAAAACGGACGGAUGCUUGGAUAAUGUUCUUCUUCUAUAGUCAAUUAUUUAGAUGUCAUAGCUGACUGAUGGACCAGUAACAUCACCAGCAAGAGUGGCUCACUGCAGGCAGAUGGACCGUGUCUGGACUGGAGCGGACAGACAAUUAGCUACCCCUGCUGGACCAUAAAAAAAAUCUUUAGUGUUGAUGUUGAUGACUACGCAUCCUGUAAUGCUGGAAAUCCCCAUUUGUCUUUGAGAAGUAGAAAACUAAAAUACACUCUGGAAUUACACUUAAAGGAAAAAAAACGCUAAACCAGAAUUGGCCACAGUGAAAAUGUCAGUAACAGCUGGGGGCCACUUUUGAGC